rnacentral:rRNA from 1 species
CAGCAGCCGCGGUAAUACCGGCGGCCCGAGUGGUGGCCGCUAUUAUUGGGCCUAAAGCGUCCGUAGCCGGGCCCGUAAGUCCCUGGCGAAAUCCCACGGCUCAACCGUGGGCUUGCUGGGGAUACUGCGGGCCUUGGGACCGGGAGAGGCGGGGGGUACCCUGGGGUAGGGGUGAAAUCCUAUAAUCCCAGGGGGACCGCCAGUGGCGAAGGCGCCCCGCUGGAACGGGUCCGACGGUGAGGGACGAAGGCCAGGGGAGCAAACCGGAUUAGAUACCCGGGUAGUCCUGGCUGUAAAGGAUGCGGGCUAGGUGUCGGGUGAGCUUCGGGCUCGCCCGGUGCCGUAGGGAAGCCGUUAAGCCCGCCGCCUGGGGAGUACGGCCGCAAGGCUGAAACUUAAAGGAAUUGGCGGGGGAGCACUACAAGGGGUGGAGCGUGCGGUUUAAUAGGAUUCAACGCCGGGAACCUCACCGGGGGCGACGGCAGGAUGAAGGCCAGGCUGAAGGUCUUGCCGGACACGCCGAGAGGAGGUGCAUGGCCGCCGUCAGCUCGUACCGUGAGGCGUCCACUUAAGUGUGGUAACGAGCGAGACCCGCGCCCCCAGUUGCCAGCCCUUCCGCUGGGAAGGGGGCACUCUGGGGGGACUGCCGGCGAUAAGCCGGAGGAAGGAGCGGGCGACGGUAGGUCAGUAUGCCCCGAAACCCCCGGGCUACACGCGCGCUACAAUGGGCGGGACAAUGGGAUCCGACCCCGAAAGGGGAAGGGAAUCCCCUAAACCCGCCCCCAGUUCGGAUCGCGGGCUGCAACUCGCCCGCGUGAAGCUGGAAUCCCUAGUACCCGCGUGUCAUCAUCGCGCGGCGAAUACGUCCCUGCUCCUUGUACACACCGCCCGUC